rnacentral:rRNA from 1 species
UUUUAUGGAGAGUUUGAUCCUGGCUCAGGAUGAACGCUGGCGGCGUGCCUAAUACAUGCAAGUCGAGCGAACGGACGAGAAGCUUGCUUCUCUGAUGUUAGCGGCGGACGGGUGAGUAACACGUGGAUAACCUACCUAUAAGACUGGGAUAACUUCGGGAAACCGGAGCUAAUACCGGAUAAUAUUUUGAACCGCAUGGUUCAAAAGUGAAAGACGGUCUUGCUGUCACUUAUAGAUGGAUCCGCGCUGCAUUAGCUAGUUGGUAAGGUAACGGCUUACCAAGGCAACGAUGCAUAGCCGACCUGAGAGGGUGAUCGGCCACACUGGAACUGAGACACGGUCCAGACUCCUACGGGAGGCAGCAGUAGGGAAUCUUCCGCAAUGGGCGAAAGCCUGACGGAGCAACGCCGCGUGAGUGAUGAAGGUCUUCGGAUCGUAAAACUCUGUUAUUAGGGAAGAACAUAUGUGUAAGUAACUGUGCACAUCUUGACGGUACCUAAUCAGAAAGCCACGGCUAACUACGUGCCAGCAGCCGCGGUAAUACGUAGGUGGCAAGCGUUAUCCGGAAUUAUUGGGCGUAAAGCGCGCGUAGGCGGUUUUUUAAGUCUGAUGUGAAAGCCCACGGCUCAACCGUGGAGGGUCAUUGGAAACUGGAAAACUUGAGUGCAGAAGAGGAAAGUGGAAUUCCAUGUGUAGCGGUGAA